CUCUUAUUCCCAAUUCCAGAAUCAAAAUCCCUAACUCACCACCACCUCCACCGAUCCAGCAGUGCUGUCCGUCGGUGCUGCUCACCAGUCACUAGUCACCAAUCACCACAUUCAUCUCCACCUUCCACCUGCUUCCUCUGUAGUCGGCUCCCACCUGAUUUCCUCAACUGACUCAGGUAAGAAAUAUCAUUUUCACUUUCUUUUUAUUUGGUCACCGAGAAAAUGAAGGAAAGUUUUUUAUUCUAUUUUAUGUUCCCUUGCUUUAUUCACUCUGUUUUUGUGUUGGAUUCUUUUGUAUGUGGUUAGGGUUUGCUGCACUUACUAGAAAUCUAGUAAAGUAAAAUACAGUAAAAUGGUUAGUCGUUAUUAGGGUUUAAUAUAGUUCUAUUAGUUUCUGUUAUAGCGUCUGUUAUAGUUAGUUACAGAACUAGUUAGGGAACGGUUUCUGACCUAGCAUUAAAAUGUGUAACACACUCAAGUUAAUCAUGAUGAAUACAGCAUUCUAUUUCUUGUAUACUCUGAAUCUUAACAUGGUAUCAAGAGCUAGGUUUCUUUUGCUGUAAACAAAGUUUUUUCUUUUCUUCUUUGUUCUUUUCGAUGGCUACAGAUGAUGUUUCAGACGGAGCACAAGUACCUGAGACACCUCGACACUCCUCCAACACUAGGGAGGCUGCACAUUCACAGGGAAAUGACAUGGUUUGUGCAUCGACAGUCCAUUAUUUCUCCAAGCAUGACACCAUCAAACUGUCCUCACAUAACUUUCUGUUAUGGAAACAUCAACUUUUGUUGAUUCUUGAAGGAUAUGGGCUUGAAGGGUUUAUUCUCGGUACUAUUUCCUCUCCUCCUGCUUUUGUUGUUAAUUCUGAUGGUCAACAGGUCGAAAAUCCAGCCUUUGUUUUUCAUAGGAAACAAGAUAAGUUUCUCGCUUCCUGGCUAUUGUCAACUGUUACAGAUGAUAUCUUAAUUCAUCUCACUAAUGCUAAAACUAGUUUUGCUAUAUGGAACACCAUUGAAAAACGAUUUAGUGCAAAGUCCUCUCUAAAGAUCUCGAGCAUGAGUCAUGCGUUAUAUUCCCUAAAGAAAACAAAUCUUUCUGUUAAAGAUUAUGUGGCUAAGGUGAAACAACUUAAUGAUGAUUUAACUGCUGCUGGGAGUCCUAUAUCUGAGCAAGGACAGAUAAGUGUCAUCUUAGCUGGCUUGUCGGUUGAUUUUGAGUCUAUUCGGGUAUUUGCCUCUGUUACUCCUCUCUCUCUUGACUUGUUAACUGAAAUGUUACUCGACUGUGAAUCACGUCAAUUAGAGUUGUCUACAGAAGUUUCUUGUCUAGCAAAUUUGGUAACUCGACAAUUUGAUAGUGAGGCUGUUUUGAAACAGUCCUCUGAGCCUUUAAACUAUUCCCAGGGGUCUAAACAAACCUAUAGAGGACAGGGUCGAGGUUUCUCUCGGGGACGAUCCCGUGGUAAUGGUCGGGGUUGGUCUCGCAGUAAGCCACGGUACCAAUUGUGUGGUAAGGUGGGGCAUCUGGUCCAAACCUGUUUUCACAGAUUUGAUGAAAAUUUUUCAGGUGUUGCAGCGUCUGAUACAGUCUAGGUCAACUGUCAUCAACUGCAUGGCUCCAGUUGCUCUUCCUCUGCUCCUACUUGUUAAACAGUGUUACAUUGCUGUGGUUCCUCUAGUCACGGUCAACCGGCAGUAACUUCACAAUCAGAGUCUGUUCCGUAUCCUGAUUCGGGAGCUACAAACCAUAUUACACCGGAUGUGUCUGGUCUCACUAAUACCGCUCCAUAUGCAAGUACGAGUCAUGUCACUAUGGGUAAUGGUGCAUCUGUUUCAAUUGCUAAUGUAGGCUCGUCCACUCUCUUAACUGGUACAAGACUUCUCAAGCUGCAGAAUGUGUUACAUGUUCCUGUUGUAUGCAAGAACUUGAUGUCCGUUGGACAAUUUGCAAAGGAUAACGGUGUUUAUUUUGAAUUUCACCCAUUCUUGUGUUUUGUGAAGGACAUUCAGACAGGGAUGACGCUACUCGAGGGCCACAUGCAUGAAGGUUUAUACCGGUUCCAAUUCACCACGCCCACUCCUGUUGCUGCUCCAUCUCCUUUGAAAUCCAGUUCAAAACUCAGUUCUACUUUGGUGAACAGUGCACAGUUGUUUUCUACUUUGUGGCACGAUAGACUUGGCCAUCCUUGUAGUGGCAUUUUAACCCGUGUGUUAAGAUCUUGUAAUUUUCCUUAUAAACAAAAUGUUUUGAGUCACGUUUGUACAGCCUGUCAAGUGGGAAAAGCACACAAGCUUCCCUUUUCUACUUCAAACACUUUGUAUUCGGUCCCCUUUGCACUUGUGGUAUCCGAUGUAUGGGGUUCUGCACAUUUACCUUCAAAUGGUUUUCGUUACUACAUCUCCUUUGUUGACAUGUAUAGUCGGUAUACCUGGCUCUAUUUUCUCAAAAACAAGUCUGAUGUGACUCAGUGUUUCUUGAAUUUUCAUCAGAUGGUACGAGUACAAUUUGGUUGUUCUAUUAAGAGUCUCCAAACGGAUGAGGGGUGAAUAUCGUACUUUAUCUCCGCUCUUAUCUCGACUUGGGGUUCAGCACAGGGUUACUUGUCCGUAUACCUCGGAGUAAAAUGGUGUUACCGAGAGGAAACAUCGUCAAAUAGUUGACAUGGGGUUUUCGUUGUUAGCACGGGCCAGCAUUCCUCUCCAGUUUUGGUUCUAUGCUUUUGUGCAUGCUGUUUAUCUGACUAACAGGCUUCCUACUCCUGUUUUGGGUCAUUAUAGUCCGUAUGAAGUGCUUUAUAAAGUUAAACCAGAUUAUAGCUCACUCAAGGUGUUUGGAUGCUCUUGCUUCCCCGAUCUUCGACCUUUUCAACGAUAUAAAUUGAGCUUUCGAUCACAACAGUGUGUUUUUCUUGGUAUGGUGCCUCACACCAAAGGCUACAGGUGUCUUGCUGCUGAUGGUCGAAUGUUUUUAUCGAGGCAUGUAAAGUUUGAUGAAAGUAAGUUCCCUUACCAUGAUGGUUUCAGCAAGGAGUUCCCAGAAAUAAGGGAAAAUCGGUGUACGUCUGUUCUUCCGUUAGUCACACCUAAUACUGGUGUCAUCACCUCAGCACAACCUCUUUUGCGUUCGAAUAGACACACUAGCCUGGGAACUGUUUCAGCUCAGUCACGUCUUAAUCAGCCUUCAGCUAGUACUUCAGCUGACUCAACUAUAGGAGGUUCUUCUGAUCAGCUGAUCUCACAUCAACCAUCUCUCAGUACGUCUGUUGACCCCGUUACAAUAGUUGAGGAGUCUACUGUUGGUGUUCAGGCUGAGCAAACUGUAGCAACUUCAUCUACUACGGUACCUUCAAACUAUCACCCGAUGCAAACUCGCUCCAAGAGUGGUAUAUUUCGACCAAAAGUUUUUUCCUCUGUCCUAGAUGAGACCGAGCCUUCUACCAUUACAGAAACUUUUCAGAGUCCUGCCUGGACUGCAACAGCCAAUGAUAAGUACAGUGCGCUGCUUGUUAACCACGCAUGGGAUCUUGUCUCCUUACCAGCAGGUCGUCUGCUGUUGGUUGCAAAUGGAUUUUCCAGAUUAAGAGACAUGCGGAUGGAACCAUCGCUCGGUACAAGGGCAGAUUAGUUGUUAAAGGGUAUUUACAAGAGGCUAGGGUGGAUUUUCAAGAAACAUUCAGUCCUGUUGUCAAACCGACCUCCAUUAGAGUUGUUAUAGCAUUGGCCGUGUCUCUCAACUGGCCUCUUCAGCAAGUAGAUAUAAACAACGCAUUCUUAAAUGGGGAUUUAAGUGGGGAUAUCUACAUGGUGCAACCACCGGGUUUGAACAAAGUGGCUCAAAUGGUGAACUUAUGGUCUGUAAGUUAAAAAAGGCUCUAUAUGGUCUCAAGCAAGCUCCUAGAGCUUGGUUUCAGAAGCUAAGGGAAUUUUUAGUUUCCAUGGACUUUGAAGUGUCCAAAGCUGAUGGCUCUCUCUUCAUCCUUCGAUCAGGUGAACAGCUGAUGUAUGUGCUAGUUUAUGUUGAUGACAUCAUUGUCACUGGCAAUGAUUCUCAGGCUGUAGAUCAGUUUGUCAGUCAACUUAAUGCUCGAUUCUCUUUAAAGGACCUAGGAAAACUUAACUAUUUCCUAGGCAUAGAGGUUCAAUACACAGCAGAAGGGGUAUAUCUUUUGCAAACGAAGUACAUUCAGGACCUGCUUUGUAAAGCGUUCAUGGACCAGUCUAACUCUCUUCCUACACAGAUGGUAACAAACUAUCACCUUUCAGCCAUAGAUGGAAUUCCAAUCAAUGAUGAACAUCAGUACAGAAAUAUUGUUGGCACUUUGCAGUAUGUGGUGAUAACCAGGCCCGACAUUACCUACUUCGUGAAUAAGGUGUGCUAGUUUAUGCAUAAGCUGUUAGAUGUGCAUUUUAAAGCAGUCAAAAGAAUAUUGCGGUAUCUACAAGGGACGAUGAAUUAUGGCUUAAAGUUUACUCGUGCCUCGCGGUUUCUUCUUGAAGGCUAUUCAGACACUAGCUGGGGGUCUAAUGUUGAUGAUCGUAGAUCAACUUCAGGUUAUUGCGUCUUUCUUGGAGGAAAUACGAUCUCUUGGAGUUCCAAGAAACAGCAAGUGGUCUCUCGAUCCACUGCAGAGGCAAAAUACAGAAGUGUUGCUCAUUUGGCAGCUGAGAUAACCUGGGUUCAGUUGUUAUUAAAUGAGUUAUGUUCUCCAAUGCAGCCAAAGGCCUUGAUCUGGUGUGACAGUUCAGCAGCAGUAGCAGUAGCUGGAAACCCUGUUAUGCAUUCAAAAUUCAAACAUGUAGAGCUAGACGUAUUUUUUGUCAGAGAAAAGGUGGAAGCAGGGGUCCUUCAGGUUGGCCAUGUUCCAGGGUCCCAUCAGAUAGCAGACAUCUUAACGAAACCACUGCCUUUAUCUGUCUUAAAUAAGUUUCGAGUGCAGCUUCGGGUUGUGAAUAUCACGUGAAAGGAGUUGUUUUCUCUUUCCUUUUUGUAGCAAGAUGUUAGAUAAGUAUGGGGAAUAUUAAGGUUUAAUAUAGUUCUGUUAGUUUCUGUUAUAGCGUCUGUUAUAGUUAGUUACAGAAGUAGUUAGGGAACGGUUUCUGACCUAGCAUUAAAUAUGUGUAACACACUCAAGUUAAUCAUGAUGAAUACAGCAUUCUAUUUCUUGUAUACUCUGAAUCUUAACAGUCG
rnacentral:lncRNA from 1 species